UACGUAGGGGGCAAGCGUUGUCCGGAAUCAUUGGGCGUAAAGAGCGUGUAGGCGGCUCGGUAAGUCCGCUGUGAAAGCCCGGGGCUCAACCCCGGGAGGCGGGCGGAUACUGUCGGGCUAGAGUCCGGAAGAGGCGAGUGGAAUUCCUGGUGUAGCGGUGAAAUGCGCAGAUAUCAGGAGGAACACCAAUGGCGAAGGCAGCUCGCUGGGACGGUACUGACGCUGAGACGCGAAAGCGUGGGGAGCAAACAGG
rnacentral:rRNA from 1 species